GCGGGUUUCUCUUCAAUGACUUCUUGCGUUAGAAAUUUACGAAUAAAGUCGGCCGUUUAUAAUGUACAUUUAGAUAGCAAACAUGUGAACUAUCCAUCCGCUUGAUUAUUUUAUAAAAUCCUCGUUCCAUCCGUUUGAAUAAUAGGUAUUUAUAAAUCGAAAGGAUGCGAAUUAUCUGUUUAUCGUUAAGGACGCAAAAAGGGUUCCGCAUUAUAAAUACCACUUUAUCGCAUCAUUUGUUCUCAAUGCGUGUACGAGCAGCAAAAUGACAUCGGCGCCGACGAGGACCAAUAUUUCAAAGUGCGAGUGGUUGUUAAACGAAAUUCGAGAGUAUGUGCCAAACGGGUACACGAUCAUGUGCCCGUGUGCACAUAAUCUGGUUUAUGAUGAGAGGCGCGACAUUCUACUAUUUAUAGACCCCUUUUUUGGGGAUUACUAUAUAUGGGUUUUUACGAAUUCAGAACCCUCAGGAAGGGGAGUAGCAUUUGUGCGUGUAGGACCAAGAUACCAAUCACCUCGUCAAAGGAACUGCUACAAUCAAAAUCGUUGACAUCAGUCGUCCUCCUCGUCCUUCAAAAAAACUAAUGCAGA